rnacentral:rRNA from 1 species
CAGCCGCCGCGGUAAUACGUAGGGUGCGAGCGUUAAUCGGAAUUACUGGGCGUAAAGCGUGCGCAGGCGGUUGUGUAAGACAGGUGUGAAAUCCCCGGGCUUAACCUGGGAACUGCGCUUGUGACUGCACAGCUAGAGUAUGGCAGAGGGGGGUGGAAUUCCACGUGUAGCAGUGAAAUGCGUAGAGGUGUGGAGGAACACCGAUGGCGAAGGCAGCCCCUGGGCCAAUACUGACGCUCAUGCACGAGAGCGUGGGGAGCAAACAGGAUUAGAUACCCCUGUAGUCCCUGUCUCUUAUACA